rnacentral:rRNA from 1 species
AUUGAACGCUGGCGGCAGGCCUAACACAUGCAAGUCGAGCGGAUGAAGGGAGCUUGCUCCUGGAUUCAGCGGCGGACGGGUGAGUAAUGCCUAGGAAUCUGCCUGGUAGUGGGGGAUAACGUCCGGAAACGGGCGCUAAUACCGCAUACGUCCUGAGGGAGAAAGUGGGGGAUCUUCGGACCUCGCGCUAUCAGAUGAGCCUAGGUCGGAUUAGCUAGUUGGUGGGGUAAAGGCCUACCAAGGCGACGAUCCGUAACUGGUCUGAGAGGAUGAUCAGUCACACUGGAACUGAGACACGGUCCAGACUCCUACGGGAGGCAGCAGUGGGGAAUAUUGGACAAUGGGCGAAAGCCUGAUCCAGCCAUGCCGCGUGUGUGAAGAAGGUCUUCGGAUUGUAAAGCACUUUAAGUUGGGAGGAAGGGCAGUAAGUUAAUACCUUGCUGUUUUGACGUUACCAGCAGAAUAAGCACCGGCUAACUUCGUG